UCAGUGUAGUUCGGGAGUGUCUUGUAGCUGGGACUACCAGGAGCUGUGAUUUCACUGCGAUUGCUGCUGCUACUGCUUGCUGACCUUCCUUAUUACAACGUGUCAAAAGAUAAAAGAAUCUAGCCUAAGCUAUGAACAAUGAAUUACAAAAGUCCUAUUUAAGUCUUCAAACUUGCUCUUGUACUUCCUUGAUAUCUUGUUAUCUUGCAUUCCUUUGGUGAAAUCCAUUAUCGUUACUUCAACUUGCUAACUGAGAUGUUGUUCCUUCCCUCCAAAUCUUUGAACUUAAAUAAACUUGAACUUGAAUGUAUUCCUCUGUUCUCCAGGCGGGAUCCUAACUUCACAAAAUAGACAAAACAAAGAAAAAUUUCAGCCCCAGUUUGGAAAACUGGGGUUUGUUAUCGAAUACUAAUACGAAUUUGGAAACUAAAACUUGAAUUGUAAUACCUAUGUUCUCUAGGCGGGCUCCUGACUUCCGAAACUUGAAUUGUAUUCCUAUGUUCUUCAGGCGGGCUCCUAACUUCAAAAAUAUGAAGAAACCGAUUGAAAACUAACAUUUGAAUUGUAUCACCUCUGUUCUUCAGGCGGGCUCCUGAUUGCUGAAUUUGAAAUUGCAUGUAUUCCUCUAUUAUCCAGGCGGACUCCUGACUUCACAAAAACAGACAAAACAAAGAGAACUUUAUGCCCUAGUUUGGAAAACUGGGUGUUUGUUACCACAUACUAAAACUUGAAUUGUGAUAAAACUGAAAUGCAAAUUUUUACAAAUAUUUAAGGGAUGAAAUGUAUCUUAAAAUUUAAAGUUUUUCUUUGGAGAAAAAUUCAUCAGACUAAGAUUUUCAUCUUAGGUGAAAGAUUCAACAGACUAAGAUUUUUAUCCUUGAUCUCAACAGACUAAGCUUUUUCUAACUUUAAUCUUAGGUGAAAAAUUCAUCAGACUAAUAUUUUCAUCUUAGGAGAAAGCUUCAACAGACUAUGAUCUUUACCUUUUAUCUUUGGUGAAAACUUUAUCAGACUAAGAUUUUCAUCUUAGGAGAAAGAUUCAACAGACUAAGAUUUACCCUUAUCUUAGGUGAAAAAUUCAUCAGACGAAGAUUUUACCUUGGGCGAAAGAUUCGACAGACUAAGAUUUUGACUCUAGGAGAUAAUUCAAUAGACUAGAUCCAUUUUUGUGUGAUCCCGAUUUUCUUAAUUUUUCAAAUUCCAACGUUCUUUCUUUCUUUUUCAAAUUCUGCCAACAUUUCUUUUCCGAAAUUAUGUCAUCCCAAAUUAUGCCUUCCUUUCUAUUCCCCAAAUUGUCUUCCUUCCCUUUUUUCCAACUUCUGCCUUUAUCUUAGGUGAAAGAUUCAACAUACUAAGAUUUCUUUAUCUUAGGUGAAAAAUUCAACGGACUAAGAUUUUUAUCUUAGGUGAAAGAUUCAACAGACUAAGAUUUCUUCCUCUUAGAUAAAAAAUUCAUCAGACUAAGAUUUUCUUUUAACCAUUUUUUUCCAAAACUUGUCUUAUCUACCCUCUAACUUGAAUUAUCUUCCUCCGGAACUGCUCCCUUAAAUACUGGUGUUGUCCUCCUUCAAAACCAUUUCCCUAAAAACAGUGUUUCAAUCCUCCAAAAAUUAUUUUUUUCUUAAAAAUGGUGUUUCUCGACUAAAAACUACUUCCCUCUCUAAAAAGAACUUGUAUUGUCCUUCAUGUUCUUCAGAUGAAUGCUUGCCUUCAAGAAAAUUUUCAACACGAUAGAAACUUUUCUGCCCCAGUUUGAUAAUCUUCAUGUAGCAUAACAUUUCCAUGCCCCUGUUUCAAAACAAAGAAACUUCUGUCAGUUUAAAGUGCGGUGGUUGGGUGUGGUACUCCUGCUGGGAUGGCUUUCCUUUUCUCCUUUCCAUGCUUUGCAUGUUCACUGAUUAACCACUUUCGUAGUCAUCUAUGUCACCAAACAUAUCUUCUCUGCAUUCAAACCCUAUAUCUUCUGUUUGUUACACCGCUCAUGAACUGGAAUUUUCCUGACCUUUGUGCUUCACCAGGAUCCCCAAAGCAAUUUGAUUAUUACCAGUCCAGUGCUCUUGUUGUUUUCGUGGCUUUUGAUACUUUGAUAUGCUAGCCAGACCCCAUUUGUGCAAUUGGAAAGCUGGUGGUAAAUUUUGAAGUCAUUCCUCACUUGGUAUAAUCGACAUACUCAGAAAAAAGUAAACAAACAGAGGAACGAAGUGAAGGACACAGUAAAGAGAUGAUUCCUAAAGAAAGACACUACAAAGUAGAAACCUAUCAAAUGUGGAUACCAACUCUAAUGAUCAUGACAUGCACCUGUAGAUAUUCUUCCAAUCGAACCUGAUAUUCAGCUCCACUUAUUUGAUUCUCUUUCCUUAUUCGACUUGUGGCACCCGAAGGGUUUUCACCACCAAAUCUCUCUCAUUUGUUCUUUCUCUCAACUUACCGUCGCCUUAAGGUGCCUGUGAAGGGUUUCACCAUAAGACUCUCAUUUUUUAUUUCUCCCAUCUUUCAUUGCCUUGUGGUACCCGUGAAGAUUUUCAUUAAUCCGGCUCUCUAUUUUUCUUGCUUGGACCGGAGUGUUGCCCCUGACAUGAAUUACCUUACCUUCUUGACUUGGCAUUCCCAAAGACUGAUCAGAAGGUCUUUAUUUGGACCGUAAUGUGGGCUUUUGGAUAGGGUUAGAAAAAAGGGGUACAAAGGCUUAAAACAAAUUCAAAAUGGGUUAAAACUACAACUUUUGGAAUCUGAUUCUUUCAACAAUCACAACUUCUGUUCCAGUUUCUUGCUUAGGGACUUUUGAUUGAUUUUAUUUUGGUAUGACUGAACCUCAGAGAGGCUACUUACGUACUCUUUUGUGAUCAAAUCAAACGUAGUUCACGUUAUAAAAACUACGUUGUUGUGAUUUUCUUUCUCUUCUUUUCUUUAAAAUGUUUUUUCUUUCUUUUUUCUUUUCUUUCUUCUCUUUCUUUCUUUUCCUUUCUUUCUUUUUUUCUUCUCUUUCUUUCUUUUCUUUUCUUUUCCUUUUCUUUCUUUUUUUUCUUUUUCCUUUUCUUCCUCUCUUUCUCAUUUUUUCUUCUUCCUUUUCAUUUACUUAUUUGCGGAACUUGCACUUCUCAAUUGUGUCGUCGAUUCUGAAAGAGGGGUAUGAAAGAAAAUAUUAAUGGCUCAAAGGGGGUGACAAUGAAAAAAAAUAUUUGGAUAGCAGAGCAAAACGCCUUCGUCAUUUCAACCCUCAAAAUAUGCCAAGUACAAACAAGUAUAAUCAGAACAAAGAAACCAUACACACAAUCUCUUGACCGCAUCAGAAUUGACGGCUAUUUCCACAUAUUUUUCUUCUUUUUGAUUUCAACAAACAACUUAUUUUUCGCAAAUAAAAAUACAGACUCUUUUUUUUCAUUUUUAGUAACACAACCAAUUUUUUGAACUAAAAAUAAAGACUCUUUUUUUCCUUUUCAAUAAAACACCCUAUUUUUCCAUUGGCAAAUUGACUAUUUUGAAACAAAAAAUCAAGACUCUUUUUUUUUCUUUUCUCAUGACAAAACAAAUUAUUUUUCAUUUUCCAUUUUUGCAAACAAGACAAACUAAAAAAAUGACAGACUCUUUUGAAUAAAACAACUAUUUAAAAACAAAAUAUUUUUAUAUUUUCUCAAAAUUUCGGUAGAGUUCCGACAGUACUUGGACAUCGUUUUUUCUAAAACAAUCAAUUAACUCUCCAACUGCUAUUCUUCUCUUUUCUCUGUUUUAUUUUCUCUUUUUUAAAAUUUUCUAAUAUUCCGGAGAUUCAGAAGCUAGUCAACAUGCAGGUUUGAAAUAAAUAAAUGCACAGAACAUAAGUAGGAUACAUCAGGGUGGUCUUUUCAUUUCAUGUUGCUAGCCCUAGACGGAUUCAAGCCCUAUGUUGAAUCCCCUAAGUCAAAAUGCAGAUGAUGCAAAUAAGCGUUCCUACUAGGGAUCCGUGAGGUUAAGUUAUUCUAGGUUCAAAACCUGGGUGUUUGUUCUAGAGUUGCCUUACUCGAGCGGACAGCUCGAGCCGAGGAGGAGGCGCCAAUCCGGAAAUACAGAAGCUUCGCCGGCUUUGCGACUUAUCCAAACCUCAUUCUAAAUUGCGAUUUGACACUAUACAGAAAAGAAGUCGUACUAUGUACACCCUUCUUCAUGAUUCAGAAGACUCAGUGAGAAGAAGGGUUUCGACACAGUUUAUAUACAGUUCGCAUAAUAUCAAAGCAGUGAAAGCAGUCAAUUACCACAUUAGGCACAUAUCAUGUAACAAAAUCAAACAAAGCCAAACACAACAAUUAUUCCAAGCUCGAAUUCUAAACCCUGACGUUCUGGGCUCUUGUCCCCAGCAGAGUCGCCAGAGCUGUCACACCUCCGUUUUAAUUAUACACCUCGCAAAGAGGCGUAAAGGACUUUUUCCAAUUAAAGGACAAUCAGAACGAGAUUUGUUUAUUAAAGAUCAGAAAUCCUGAACAAAACAUUCUGGGUUCUUUUCCCCAGUAGAGUCGCCAGAGCUGUCAUACCUCCUUUUUCACAAUACACCCCUGCAAAGGGGCGCAAAGGAGUUUUUCCAAUUAAAGGACAAUCGGAACGAGAUUUAUUUAUUAAGAAUUCAGAGUCUACACUUGGGAGAUUAAUGGUUUCCCAAGUCACCGGUUGAAUUUCGAACCGAGGAAAAAGAUGUCUCUGCUCACAGUCUGUGAACCAGAAAUCCGGAUAAGGAAUUCUAUUAACCCGGAAGAAGGUGUUAGGCAUUUCAGGUUCCGUGGUUCUAACGCGGUCGCUCGACUAUUGCAUUUAGCUUUUAUCUGAUUUUAUUACAUGAAGAGCCUAUGUGCCAAGUUUAUGCUUAACCGCCUUUUAUUUAAUAUAAUAUUUAUUUAAGAGAGUGAACGUCAUUUAAAAUGUAUUUUUGGAUUGCGCCGCAUCAAAUGAACCCGCAAUUCUAGGCACACUCUAUUCAACGUUUUAGGAUUUGGACCGCAUAAAAUGCCCACCCAUAUUUAGGAAGGUAAUUUUAUUAAAGUCGCACCUAAUAGAGUCUAACGCAUUAUUAUCUUUUGGGAGGGUCGUGAAUUUCACUAAACGACCCUUCCAGAUUUUCUAAAUAUGUUUAAACCUUCAGUGAGGGUCCCACAAUUUGCAUUUUAUUGGGCGAGGCUCGUCUCAUUUUAUUUUAGCAGUAUAAGCCUAAAAGAUAACUAUAGUUUCAAUUUUUUGAUUUUUGUCUCUAAAAGAAAGAGAAAAUCCUAAUUAAUUACAUUAUUCGAACUCGGGUUUCAAAAGGAAGGACCUUUUAGCUUGCACCCGCUACCUAACUCAAAGUCCAAGCAUGUCAUUCAAAAACACUAGUGAGUUAGGAGCUAAUUGAAUGUUGGGCCAAUGAACCCCAAUGGAACGACACCCACAGGCCCUUCCAAAUUCCAGUAGCGUUUGGACCAGGUCCAACUACAAAAUACGCAUCACAGAACUUGGCCUUUCAAUUCUCGAAAAAGCCCAAAGGCUCCUACUUGAUGCAGAACUCCGAAGAAUCAGGUUCGAAUCUUAAUUGCCGGCUACUAGCUUUCCAUUGGCCUCCACAUAACUUAUUGGCCCUCACAUAACUUUAACGAUAAUGCAAAUAGGACUCAAACAGAUGAACUGGAGCUUUUAACAAAGCAAACCAAACAAUUUUAUAUUAAGAGUUACAGCUUGAGCUUUAUAUUGGUAAAGGAUCUAAUUAAUUACCUAAUUUAGCAUGAUUUCGGGAUCCUCUAUCCAUCAAUUAUGAAGUUGCUUGUUAUUCAAAGAAUAAAGAGUGAGACACGCAGACUGUCUCCUUAUCCUGUAACUAUCAACUCCUGAUCAACACUUAAACAAUCUGAUAACAGAACACAACCCAUUUCCAUUCCUAUUCCAUGACUAAUGCAAUACAGGAAGCUCGAAUUCAUUUGCUUCAUGAGGCACUUGAAAAUUAACGAUUACAAUACGUAAUGAUAAAGCUACGCUAUAUCUAACAUACGAAUGAACAUAAGUCAAGCAGUCCAAGUUUCAUUACAUAUCUAGCAAAUGUGCAAAUCAGUACAAUUCAAAGUACAACUAACGAAUGAACAUCAGUCGAGCAGUCCAAGUUCGAUUACAAAUGUUAUCUAGCAAAAGUGCAAAUCAGUAUAUUUCAAAGUACAACUAAUUCAGAAUCUCAAACUAGACCAACAGAUGGACAUUUUAUUCCAUGACUGGAGCUCAAAAUCACAGCAGAAGUACAGAAUUGUGUACCUGGAAUUCGAGAGUACAGAAAGAAGAGUGAGGAUCGACAGACAAAGCAAUAGCAGCAAUGUUUCAGCAGUAAAAUCUACCCAGAAACUAUCAGAAGGAAUCCAUUUAAACCCACUUGAAACCAAACCACAUACACAGACACCAACCAUCAUAAAUACACCCCAAAUAAGCUCAAAUGAACCAGAGAAUACUUCAAAUCUCAGAGACUCUAGACAUCAGCAGCAGAAAAUCAAUGAAACAAUUGACAUAUUUGUGGUUUUUCCAUUUGUGAAUGUUUUUAUUUUUUUAUUUUUGUGUGCUUGAAUGCCAAAGCUAAUAUGGAAUUGAAAACUGAAGGAAAAGGAGUUUUUCUAUGGGAAUUUUGGCUGAAAUGUCCAGGAACGAACUCAGAACAUCAGUAGCAAUUUCAGCACUCAACUACACCCCAAAUGAACUAGAAAUAACAGAUCAAAACAAACCUCGAACCUCAGCACCCAAAACAAUAACAAAAUGAACUCGAACUCACAUGCAAGUAGAUUCUAAUUCUCAUCAACCCUUUGUUGAAUCCAAAGAUCGAAUUACACUACUAAAACUUGUAUUUAAACUAAAAUAACCAAUAGAACAGUGACUUUGUUUUGGUUUUAUGUUGUUUUUGAUUUAUUUUUUUGUAUAUUGAAUAUGAAGAGAGCUGAAAUUUGAAGUCUGGAUUCAAAUUUCAGAUCUCCAAGACUUGAAGAACUUUUGAGGGAUUUUUAGGCUGCCCAAACUUGAUUCUUCUUCUCUAAAAUUAGGCCUUGAGAGAGUUUUUCAGAAUUUUUCCUUCAUUGUGAAUCUGCCCCCCCCCCCCCUUACAAAGCCAAAAUCGUGACUUUAUAACCAAAUUGGUAUAUUUACUUCUUCCCCUAGAUAAAACCUCUAAUUUUCCCACAUGUGACCCCCAUUCCCUUCUAGAAACUUCCCUCAAAACAGAAUAUAUUCCCUAUAUAC
rnacentral:lncRNA from 1 species